rnacentral:rRNA from 1 species
UACGUAGGGUGCAAGCGUUGUCCGGAAUUAUUGGGCGUAAAGAGCUCGUAGGCGGUCUGUCGCGUCUGCUGUGAAAACUCGGGGCUUAACCCUGAGCUUGCAGUGGGUACGGGCAGACUAGAGUGCGGUAGGGGAGACUGGAAUUCCUGGUGUAGCGGUGAAAUGCGCAGAUAUCAGGAGGAACACCGGUGGCGAAGGCGGGUCUCUGGGCCGAUACUGACGCUGAGGAGCGAAAGCGUGGGGAGCGAACAGG